CCUACGGGAGACUGCAGUGGGGAAUAUUGCGCAAUGGACGAAAGUCUGAUGGAGCAACGCCGCGUGAGUGAAGAAGGGUUUCGGCUCGUAAAGCUCUGUUGGUAGUGAAGAAAGAUAGAGGUAGUAACUGGCCUUUAUUUGACGGUAAUUACUUAGAAAGUCACGGCUAACUACGUGCCAGCAGCCGCGGUAAUACGUAGGUGGCAAGCGUUGUCCGGAUUUAUUGGGCGUAAAGCGAGUGCAGGCGGUUCAAUAAGUCUGAUGUGAAAGCCUUCGGCUCAACCGGAGAAUUGCAUCAGAAACUGUUGGACUUGAGUGCAGAAGAGGAGAGUGGAACUCCAUGUGUAGCGGUGGAAUGCGUAGAUAUAUGGAAGAACACCAGUGGCGAAGGCGGCUCUCUGGUCUGCAACUGACGCUGAGGCUCGAAAGCAUGGGUAGCGAACAGGAUUAGAUACCCUUGUAGUC
rnacentral:rRNA from 1 species